UACAGAGGGUGCAAGCGUUGUUCGGAAUUAUUGGGCGUAAAGCGCGUGUAGGCGGCUUUGCAAGUUGGGUGUGAAAUCCCUCGGCUCAACUGAGGAAGUGCGCCCAAAACUGCAGAGCUUGAGUACCGGAGAGGAUGGCGGAAUUCCCCAAGUAGAGGUGAAAUUCGUAGAUAUGGGGAGGAACACCGGUGGCGAAGGCGGCCAUCUGGACGGAUACUGACGCUGAGACGCGAAAGCGUGGGGAGCAAACAGG
rnacentral:rRNA from 1 species